UUACGGCCAUAUCACGUUUGAAACACUGGUUCUUGUACAAUUUCCGAAAUUAAGCAUCGUCGAGCCUGUUCAGUACCUAGAGGAGUUUCCGCUUGGGAAUACCAGGUGCUGUA